UCAUCCUCCUCAGCGCAGCCUGUGGGGCAGGGUGUCAGUCCAUUUGUCCUCCGGUUUUACAGGCACAGGAGACUGUUAACGUCUACUGCUGUAGCUCUUCUCUGUAGGCUUCAGGUACACUGGCUAAGGCAGAACCUCAAAUCCAAGGCUCUCUGUAGACAUGAGACCUCUGAGAACCAGUCAUGAUCUGACUCAUCUCUGUGCUCAUGGAUCAACCAUGACUUAAUAGGGACCCAACUGAGGGAAAUUGUACCAUGAAAAAACAUUUUAUUUCGGGGACAUGACCCAAGUGAAGCUUUUAAUUCCACUUUCAAGCUCCCAUUACAACUCUGAGUGGAAGCUUUAGUCUCGUUUGCACUCCGGUUUUGAGCUUGUAACUGGAAAAGCGUCUUGCACUGUUGAACCUUCUUGAGUGGCCCCUUUAACAGCCUCCGAACUGUAUGAAAUGGUUCUCUCUCCCGGUUGUAUAUUUGAAACAUUCAACUGUCACUGUCCUGUUUUUAUUUUAAUUAUGUACUAAAUUAUGUAGUUUUGUUCUUUUAAACAUCUGUUGCUUUGGACUUCGUUUAUUUAUAGUAAAGGUAGGCGUGAGAUAGUAAGACUAUCCCUUUCCCGGGAAAGCUGGCAUGGCACCUGAGUAAACCUAAGGCUUCGGUAAAUCCCACAGCGGGAGAAAAGCACAAGGUUGUCAUCCGUCCAAUAUGACAUGUUAUGCAUCCUUGAGGUUACUUUUACCAAGUGACACUCUCCUACCCAUUCUUAGUAUUGUCCUUUUGUGAUGCUGCCCUUGAGUUUUGUUCAAGUCUCUAUCUAACUUUGAAAGUGUGUCCUCAGUGAGAAACCGUAAUGUGGUGUUUCAUGGUUUGUUGGGAAGGUAAUUUUAAAAUAAACAGUUUCCUAAAAAGAUUUGUCAGCCAAGGUCAUAAAGCCAAGGGACCAUAAAGGUCCCUGUCUGGAACACGUUUUCUCAGCAGGUCUCACUUUUGCAAUCCUAGCAUCUCACGGUAGCCUUGGAGGAGGCCCACUGAGCACUCAGAGCUUGACUUUGCCAGUCUGCUGUUCUGGUAGAGGAAGACUUUGAAGCGUCAGCAUACAGGUUUUCAAAGUAUAAUCCUCAUGCAUCAAAGAAAAUAAGCCUCAAAUUAUUUCUUCAAUAAUUAUUCAAAAUUUCUCUUAACUACAUCUAACUAGCCUAAGUAUAACCUCUAGUCUUCCAUUAGUCAGUCUACGUAC
rnacentral:lncRNA from 1 species